rnacentral:rRNA from 1 species
GCGUGCUUAACACAUGCAAGUCGUACGAGAACGCUUCAGCUUGCUGAAGCUAGUAAAGUGGCGUACGGGUGAGUAACGCGUGGGUAAUCUACCUUCGAAUUGGGGAUAACGUUGCGAAAGUGACGCUAAUACCGGAUAAUAUCAUAGAGACCUUGGUUUUUAUGAUCAAAGAUGGCCUCUCCUUGGAAGCUAUUGUUUGGAGAUGAGCCCGCGUCCCAUUAGCUUGUUGGUGGGGUAAUGGCCUACCAAGGCAACGAUGGGUAGCUGGUCUGAGAGGAUGAUCAGCCACACUGGAACUGACACACGGUCCAGACUCCUACGGGAGGCAGCAGUGAGGAAUUUUGCGCAAUGGGGGAAACCCUGACGCAGCAACGCCGCGUGAGUGAUGAAGGCUUUCGGGUCGUAAAGCUCUGUCAAGUGGGAAGAACUCCCGUGAGGUUAAUACCCUCAUGGUUUGACGGUACCACUGAAGGAAGCACCGGCUAACUCCGUGCCAGCAGCCGCGGUAAUACGGGGGGUGCAAGCGUUAUUCGGAUUUACUGGGCGUAAAGCGCGCGUAGGCGGCCGUUUAAGUCAGAUGUGAAAGCCCGGGGCUCAACCCCGGAAGUGCAUUUGAUACUAUUCGGCUUGAGUAUGGGAGAGGGAAGUGGAAUUCCUGGUGUAGAGGUGAAAUUCGUAGAUAUCAGGAGGAACACCGGUGGCGAAGGCGACUUCCUGGACCAAUACUGACGCUCAGGGGCGAAGGCGUGGGUAGCAAACAGGAUUAGAUACCCUGGUAGUCCACGCAGUAAACGGUGAUCACUAGGUGUAGCGGGUAUUGACCCCUGCUGUGCCGCAGCUAACGCAUUAAGUGAUCCGCCUGGGGAGUACGGCCGCAAGGUUUAAACUCAAAGGAAUUGACGGGGGCCCGCACAAGCGGUGGAGCAUGUGGUUUAAUUUGACGCAACGCGAAGAACCUUACCUGGAUUUGACAUCUCGGGAAUUUCUAUGAAAGUAGGAAGUGCCCUUCGGGGAGCCCGAUUACAGGUGCUGCAGG